UGAGGAAUAUUGGGCAAUGCCCGAAAGGGUGACCCAGCAACGCCGCGUGGAGGAUGAAGGUCGUAAGAUUGUAAACUCCUGUUAGAGGGGAAGAAUAACUAAGUUUGGAGCUUAGUAUGACUGUACCCUCAGAGAAAGCCCCGGCUAACUACGUGCCAGCAGCCGCGGUAAUACGUAGGGGGCAAGCGUUGUCCGGAUUUACUGGGUGUAAAGGGCGCGCAGGCGGAAUGGAAAGUCAGUGGUGAAAUCCUACAGCUUAACUGUAGAACUGCCUUUGAUACUUUCAUUCUUGAGUUCGGGAGAGAGACGGAAUUCCAGGUGUAGUGGUGAAAUACGUAGAUAUCUGGAAGAACACCAGUUGCGAAGGCGGUCUCUUGGUCCGAUACUGACGCUGAGGCGCGAAAGCGUGGGGAGCAAACA
rnacentral:rRNA from 1 species